rnacentral:rRNA from 1 species
UGCCAGCCGCCGCGGUAACACGGGGGGCGCAAGCGUUGCUCGGAAUUACUGGGCGUAAAGGGCGUGUAGGCGGGACAGCAAGUCGGGUGUGGAAGCCCUGGGCUCAACCCAGGAAGGGCAUUCGAUACUACUGUUCUUGAGUAUGACAGAGGAAAGCGGAAUUCCCGGUGUAGCGGUGAAAUGCGUAGAUAUCGGGAAGAACACCUGUGGCGAAGGCGGCUUUCUGGGUCACAACUGACGCUGAGGCGCGAAAGCUAGGGGAGCGAACGGGAUUAGAUA